rnacentral:rRNA from 1 species
AAACUGAUCUUCCCGUGAAGAAGCGGGAAUAUAUAUAUAAGACGAGAAGACCCCAUGGAGCUUUAAACCCAACAGCACCUAUUCUUUUUAAACCCACCCAUUCAUAUAGUAAAUGCUUGUUUGUUUUAGGUUGGGGUGACCGCGGAGUAAAAAUUAACCUCCACGAAAAAGGGCAUAAAAGCCUUAUCAAAGAAUUACACUUCUAUGAAUUAGUAAACUAAUUUUUGAUGAUCCGAUAUUCGAUCAACGAACCAAGUUACCCUGGGGAUAACAGCGCAAUCCACCUCAAGAGCUCCUAUCGACAAGUGGGUUUACGACCUCGAUGUUGGAUCAGGGUACCCCAGUGGUGCAGCAGCUACUAAAGGUUCGUUUGUUCAACGAU